GCGGUCACCAGCUUGACGGAGGAUGUCAAUGUCGGUUUUAGGGUUUCGAGGCCAGUGGUGUGGGUGGUAUUAGUGGUGGUGGCGAUGGGAUUGCUUGUGGGCGCGUUUCUGAUGGUGGCAGUUAAAAAAGCGGUUAUUUUGGUGGCGGUGGGGGCGAUAUUGGUGCCCGUAAUUCUGGGGCUUGUCUGGAAUUGCGUAUGGGGAAGGAGAGGGUUGUUAGGGUUUGUUAAGAGGUACCCUGAUGCUGAGCUAAGAGGUGCUAUUGAUGGGCAAUACGUCAAGGUCACGGGGGUUGUCACUUGUGGCAGUAUACCUUUGGAAUCAUCUUACCAGAGGGUACCCAGGUGUGUAUACAUUUCCACGGAGUUGUAUGAAUAUAGGGGGUGGGGUGGAAAAUCUGCUCAUCCCAAGCACCGUUUCUUCUCAUGGGGAUCUAGAUAUUCAGAGAAAUAUGUUGCGGAUUUUUA
rnacentral:misc_RNA from 1 species